UACGUAGGGUGCAAGCGUUAAUCGGAAUUACUGGGCGUAAAGCGUGCGCAGGCGGUUGUGCAAGACAGGUGUGAAAUCCCCGGGCUUAACCUGGGAAUUGCAUUUGUGACUGUACGGCUAGAGUGUGUCAGAGGGGGGUAGAAUUCCACGUGUAGCAGUGAAAUGCGUAGAGAUGUGGAGGAAUACCGAUGGCGAAGGCAGCCCCCUGGGAUAACACUGACGCUCAUGCACGAAAGCGUGGGGAGCAAACAGG
rnacentral:rRNA from 1 species